UAGGGUGAUACUAAUACCAAAUUGAAGCCA
rnacentral:piRNA from 1 species